rnacentral:rRNA from 1 species
ACUCCUACGGGAGGCAGCAGUGGGGAAUAUUGGACAAUGGGCGAAAGCCUGAUCCAGCCAUGCCGCGUGUGUGAAGAAGGCCCUCGGGUUGUAAAGCACUUUCAGCGAGGAAGAACGCCUAGUGGUUAAUACCCAUUAGGAAAGACAUCACUCGCAGAAGAAGCACCGGCUAACUCCGUGCCAGCAGCCGCGGUAAUACGGAGGGUGCAAGCGUUAAUCGGAAUUACUGGGCGUAAAGCGCGCGUAGGUGGCUUGAUAAGCCGGUUGUGAAAGCCCCGGGCUCAACCUGGGAACGGCAUCCGGAACUGUCAAGCUAGAGUGCAGGAGAGGAAGGUAGAAUUCCCGGUGUAGCGGUGAAAUGCGUAGAGAUCGGGAGGAAUACCAGUGGCGAAGGCGGCCUUCUGGACUGACACUGACACUGAGGUGCGAAAGCGUGGGUAGCAAACAGGAUUAGAUACCCUGGUAGACUGUCAU